rnacentral:rRNA from 1 species
UACGGAGGGCGCAAGCGGUGUCCGGAAUUACUGGGCGUAAAGCGCGUGUAGGUGGCUUGGAAAGUCGGGUGUGAAAUCCCGGAGCUCAACCCCGGAACUGCAUCCGAUACUGCGAAGCUCGAGUCUCGGAGAGGAUAGCGGAAUUUCCGGUGUAGAGGUGAAAUUCGUAGAUAUCGGAAGGAACACCAGUGGCGAAGGCAGCCGUCUGGACGAUGUGUGACACUGAGACGCGAAAGCGUGGGGAGCAAACAGG